UUUUUGUUUUCUUUUUGGUUUCCUUUGCUGUUCAAAAGCUUGUCAGUUUGAUUAAGUCCCAUUGGUUUAUUUUUGUUUUUAUUUCUAUUGCUUUGGGAGACAGAUCUGAGAAAAUAUUCAUAGAGUCGAUCUCAGAAUGUUUUGCCUAUGUUCUCUUCUAGGAGUUUGAUGGUAUCUUGUCUUAUAUUUAAGUCUUUCAGCCAUUUUGAAUUUAUUUUCAUGGAUGGUGUGAGGAUGUGUUCUAGUUUCAUGGAUUUACAUGCAGCUGUCCAGGUUUCCUAGAAAUACUUGCUGAAAAGAUUGUCUUCUUUCCCAUUUUAUGUUCUUGCCUCCUUUGUCAAAGAUUAAUUGACCAUAGAUGUCUGGGUUUAUUUCUGAGGUCUCUAUUCUGUUCCAUUGGUCUGUCUGUCUGUUUUGGUACCAGUAGCACACUGUCUUGAUGACUGUGGCUUUGUAAUAUUGCCUGAAGUCUGGGACAGUUAUGCCUCCUGCUUGGUUUUUGUUUCUCAGGAUUGCUUUGGCAGUUCUGUUUUUGUUUGUUUGUUUGUUUGUUUGUUUUUGUGGUUCCAUAUAAAUUUUGGAUUGUUUGUUCUAGUUCUGUGAAAAAUGUCGUGGGUAAUUUGAUAGGGUUUGCAUUGAAUCUGUAGAUCGCUUUGGGUAGUGUGGCUGUUUUUACAAUAUUAAUUUUUCCAAUCCAGGAACAUGAAAUAUCUUUCCAUUUCUUUGCAUCUUCUUUAAUGUCCUUGAUUAAUGUUUUCUAGUUCUUGGCAUAUAAAUCCUUUACCUCCUUGGUCAGGUGUAUUCCAAGGUAUUCUAUUUUUUGUGGGUGCAAUUUUAAAAGGUAUUGUAUUUUUGUAUUCCUUUUCUAAAAUUACAUUGUUAGUAUACAGAAAUGUGUCUGACUUCUGAAUGUUAAUCUUAUAUCCUACUACUUUGCUGAAUAUGUUGAUCAGUUCAAGUAGUUUUUAGGUUGAGUCCUUAGGGUUUUCUAGGUAUAGUAUCAUGUCAUCUGCAUACAGUGACAGUUUUACCUCUUCUCUUCCUAUAUGGAUGCCUUUUAUUUCUUUUGUUUGUCUGAUUGCUGUGGCUAGGACUUCCAGUACUAUGUUGAAUAUAACAGUGGUGAGAGUGGACAUCCUUGUCUUGUUCCAGAUUUUAGUGGGAAGGAUUUCAGCUUUUCUCCACUGAGUAUUAUAUUUGCUGUGGGUUUGUCAUAAAUGGCUUUAAUUAUGUUAAGGAACGUUCCCUCUAUACCCACUUUGGUAAGAGUUUUACCAUGAAUGGAUGUUGUACUUUGUCAGAUGCUUUUUCUGCAUCUAUUGAGAUGAUCAUAUGGUUUUUGACUUUUCUUUUGUUAAUGUGAUGUAUGGCGUUGAUUGCUCUGUGUAUGUUGAACCAUCCUUGUAUACCUGGGAUGAAUCCCACCUGGUUUUGGUAUAUGAUCUUUUUUAUAUAUUGUUGGAUUCAGUUGGCUAAAAUUUUGUUGAGAAUUUUUGUGUCUAUAUUCAUCAAAGAUAUCAGCUGAUAGUUUUCUUUUUUGGUGGUAUCUUUGUCUGGUUUUGGAAUUAGGGUUAUGGUGGUGUCAUAGAAUAUCUUUGGAGUGUUCCUUCUUCUUCAACAUUUUGAAAAAGUUUAAGGAGGAUGGAUAUCAGUGCCUCUUUGUAUAUUUGGUAGAAUUCACCUGUGAAGCCAUUUGGUCCUGGACUUUUAUUUGUAGGAAGUGUUUUUAUGACAUAUUCAAUUUCAUUUUUAGUGAUCAGUCUGUUCAGUUGAUCUAUUUCUUCUUGAUUCAGUUUUGGCAGGCUGUAAGUCUCUAGAAAGUUGUCCAUUUCUUCUAAGUUGUCAAAUUUGUUGGCAUACAAUUGUUCACAGUAUUCUCUGAUGGUUUUUGUGUUUCUGUAGUAUCCAUUGUGACUUCUCCUUUUUCAUUUCUGAUUUUAUUUGGCGAGUCUAGCCAGAGGUUUGUCAAUUUUGGUGAGUCUAGCCAGAGGUUUGUCAAUUUUGUUUACCUUUUCAAAGAACCAGCUCUUGGUUUUAUUGAUUUCUUCAAUUAUUUCUUGAAUCUCUAUUUUAUUGAUUUCCUCUUUGAUCAUAAUGAUUUCCUUCCUCCUGCUGAUUUUAGGUUUUGUUUGUUCUUCUUUUUCUAAUUCAUUUAGGUGUUGGGUUAAGUUGUUGAUUUGAGAUUUUUCUUAUUCUUUUGAGGAAGGCCUGUAUGGCUAUGAAUUUCCCUCUGAGCACUAUUUUUGUGACAUCCCAUAGAUUUUGAGUGGUUGUGUCUUCACUAUCAUUUGUCUCAGGUAUUUUUUAAUUUCCUUCUUGAUUUCCUUCUUGACCCAUUGUUUUUUUAGUAGCUGUUGUUUAGUCUCCAUGUAGUAGGUUUUUUCUCAUUUCUUUUCCUAUGGUUGAUUUCUAGUUUCAUGCCAUUGUGGUCAGAGAAGAUACUUGAAAUAACUUCUAUGUUCUUAAAUUUGUUGAGGUUAGCUUUGUGCCCCAGUAUGUGAUCAAUUCUUGAGACUGUUCCAUGUGUACUUGAGAAGAACAUAUAUUCUGAUUUUUUUGGAUGUGAUGUCCUGAUAAUGUUGAUUAAGUCUAACUUUUCUAUUGUGUCCUUUAGGCUCUCUGUUGCCUUAUUGAUUUUCUAUCUAGAGGAUCUGUCCAUUGAUGUGAGUGGGGUGUUAAAGUCUCCUACUAUGAUUGUAUUUCUAUCAAUUUCUCCUUUUAUGUCUGUUAGUGUUUAUUGUAAGUAUCUGGGUGCUCCCAUAUUGGGGGCAUAUAUAUUGAUGAUUGUAAUAUCCUCUUUUUGAAUGGAUCCUUUAACCAUUAAAUAGUGUCCUUGUUUGUCUUUAUGGCCUUUUUUUUUAAGUCUAUUUUUUCUGAUAUGAUAUUGCAACUCCUGCUUUCCUGUCUUGUCCAUUGGCAUGAAAUAUCUUUUCCCAUCUCCUCACUUUCAAUCUAUAUGUGUCCUUUGUUCUAAGGUGAGUUUCUUGUAGACAGAAGAUUGAAGGUUUUCACUAUUUUACCCAAUCUGCCACUCUGUGUCUUUUGAUUGGAGCAUUCAGUCCAUUGACAUUUAAGGUGAUUACUGAAAGAUAUGUAUUUAUUGCCAUUUUGAACCUUGUUUUCCAGUUGAUUCUAUGUUUCUCUUUUCUUCCUUUCUUUUUCGAGUUGGAUGGUUUCCAUUUAUUUUAUGCUUUAGUACUUUUUUUUCAGUUUUUGUGAAUGUAAUAUUCAGUUUUAUUUGUGGUUGUCCUGUUUUUUAAGCAGGUUAAGCCUUUCCUAUAUCUGCUUGCUUUUUGCCUGAUAGUCAUAUAGGCUCAAACAUAUCAUUAAAAUAAAAAAAGAAAAAAGAAAUAAAAAAGAAAAAAGUAGUACGGUAUUGGCAUAAAAACAGACAUAAAUCAAUGGGAGAAAAUAGAAAGUGCAGAAAUAAGCCCCCCCCCCACAUAUAUGUGGUCAAUUUAUUUAUGACAAAGGAGUCAAGAAUAUACAGUGGGAAAAGGACAGUAUCUUCAAUAAAUUAUUUUGGAAAAACUGGGCUAUCACAUUCAAAAGAAUAAAACUAAACCACUGCCUUACACCAUACAUAAUAUUUAACGCAAAAUUGACUGAAUACUUGAAUGUAAGUCCUGAAACCAUAAAACUCCUAGACGAAAACAAAGACAGUCAGCUCCUUGAGAAUGAUCUUAAUGAUGAUUUUUUUCAGUCUGAUUUCAAAAUCAAAGGCAACAAAAGAAAAAAUAAAUAAGUGGGUCUAUGUCAAACUAAAAAUCUUCUACACAGCAAAGGAAAUCAUCUACAAAAUGAAAAUAGAAAUAUACCAAGUUGGAGAAAAACUUGAAAAUCAGGUUUGUGAUAAAGAGUUAUAUCUGAAACAGAAAGAUCUCGUCCAAUUCAACGGCAAAACAAACAAACAAAACCCCAUGACUCCAAAACAAAAACAGUCUGAUUAAAAAUGAGCAUUUUUAUUAAUAUACUUUUUUUCAGGUAAAUCCCUGAAAAGCUUGGACCAUUAGCACUAAGCCUAUGCUACUUAAUAAAGUGUCUUAUCUACAUGAGAUGAUUUGCCUAUAUUGUCCCUUUACAAAACCCUUCAUGGUAUGGAUGAUAUCCCUCAUUUUACAGAUGAAGAGAAGGAAGAGCCAAAGUGUUACUCCCAGGAUCAUCAGAUCAGAAAAAAACAGUCAAGAUCCAAUGUGGUCUGGCCUCAGAGCCCUUGAUCUUUCACUCUAACUUCUGCUUUUCAAAGGAAUUUGGUUCUUUACAAACCUCAUUAUCUUGUAUUGGAAUCUAAACAUCUAAUUAAUAUGUAUUGCCUAUAAUUCAAUGGUAAAUUCGUCAUCUGCCUUGGGGCUGCCCUAUUACACACGUGGGUAUCUGACUUGUGACACAGGUGUCAUAGCUUCUCCUAACUAUACUAUAAGCAACAUUUGGGCACACAGGGAUAACUCUUCACACUUAGCCUCUGCUCUCCAGCAUCCUGUAGGCAUGCCUUGUAAAGGGGAGGCACAAUAGUAUUGUCGAGGAACACACAAAUUUUGAUAACAAUAAAUUCAAAGUUCCUAUGGGAAAGUCAAGCGGAACCCCAGUUUUCUGUGAAUUCUGAGUUAAAAGUAAAAUUGUUAUAUAAAAAUUAUUCUAUGUAUCAUGUUAUAUAAAUGACACAUUACAUAAAUUACUAUAAAUUAAGCUGUACAAAUAUGAAUGUGGUCCCAUAGAAAAUACCAAAACAGAUUGCCUUCCUUUCCUUGAGGGCUGGGUGGAAAGACACAACCCUGGUAUCCUGUGCUAUUAUUACAGAAAUGCAAAUCAAAACUACGAGGUACCACCUUACACUAGUCAGAAUGGCCAUCAAACAAUGAUGCUGAAAAGGGUGUAGAGAAAAGGGAACCCUAUUUUGCUGUUGGUGAGUGUGUAAAUUGGUACACCCAAUAUGGAAAACAGCAUGGAGAUUCCUCCAAAAAACAGAAUAAAAUUAUCAUUUGAUCCACCAAUCCUACUCCUGGGCAUCUAUCCAGAGGAAACCAUGACUUGAAAAAACACAGAGUUCACUGCAGCACUAUAUGUAAUGACCAAGACACAGAAGAAAACCUAAAUAUCCAUAAAUGGGGGAGUGUAUAAGAAGAUGUGGUAUAUAUACACAAUGGAAUAUUACUCAGACAUAAAAAGAAAUGAAAUAGUGGCAUUUGCACACAUGAAUGGACCUAGAAAUUAUUAUGCAAAGUGAAGUUAGUGAAACACAAACAUCAUAUGCUAUCACUUAUAUGUAGAACCUAAAAAUAGGAUACAACGAACUUCUUUGCAGAAUAUAUACUGACUCACAGACUUUGGAAAACUUUAUGGUUUCCAAAGGAGACUGGUUGGGGGGUGAGGGGGAUGGGCUGGGGGUUUCGGAUGGAAAUACUAUAAAACUGGGUUGUGAUGAUCAUUGUACAACUAUCAAUGUAAUCAAAUUAACUGAGUUAAAAAAUAAAUGAUAAAGUCAUAAGGCCAUCUUGGGCUACAGAUACAAAAAAAAAAAAAAAAAA
rnacentral:lncRNA from 1 species